AAUGAACGCUGGCGGUAUGCUUAACACAUGCAAGUCGAACGGAAGAUUUGGCAUUUAUGUCAAAAUUUAGUGGCGAACGGGUGAGUAACACGUAAGAACUUGCCCCUAGGCGAGGCACAACAGUUGGAAACGAUUGCUAAUGCCUCAUAUUACCGGAAGGUGAAAGGAGAAAUUUGCCUAGGGAGAGGCUUGCGCCUGAUUAGCUUGUUGGUGAGGUAAUGGCUUACCAAGGCGACGAUCAGUAGUUGGUCUGAGAGGAUGACCAGCCACACUGGGACUGAGACACGGCCCAGACUCCUACGGGAGGCAGCAGUGAGGAAUUUUCCGCAAUGGGCGAAAGCCUGACGGAGCAAUACCGCGUGAAGGAUGACGGCCCAUGGGUUGUAAACUUCUUUUCUUGGAGAAGAAUUCUGACGGUAUCCAAGGAAUAAGCAUCGGCUAACUCCGUGCCAGCGCCGCGGUAA
rnacentral:rRNA from 1 species